rnacentral:rRNA from 1 species
GACGAACGCUGGCGGCGUGCUUAACACAUGCAAGUCGAACGGUGAAGCGCCUUCCUUUUUGGUGGGUGUGGAUGAGUGGCGAACGGGUGAGUAACACGUGAGUAACCUGCCCCCUUCUUCUGGAUAACCGCAUGAAAGUGUGGCUAAUACGGGAUAUUCUGGGUCUGUCGCAUGAUGGGUCUGGGAAAGAUAUUGUUUCGGUGGGGGAUGGGCUCGCGGCCUAUCAGCUUGUUGGUGGGGUGGUGGCCUACCAAGGCGGUGACGGGUAGCCGGCCUGAGAGGGUGGACGGUCACACUGGGACUGAGACACGGCCCAGACUCCUACGGGAGGCAGCAGUGGGGAAUAUUGCACAAUGGGCGCAAGCCUGAUGCAGCGACGCCGCGUGAGGGAUGGAGGCCUUCGGGUUGUGAACCUCUUUCGCCAGUGAAGCAGGCCUGCCUCGUUUGUGGGUGGGUUGACGGUAGCUGGAUAAGAAGCGCCGGCUAACUACGUGC